UACGGAGGGUGCGAGCGUUGUCCGGAAUCACUGGGCGUAAAGGGCGCGUAGGCGGCUUCUCAAGCGUGUGGUGAAAGUCCGGGGCUCAACCCCGGAUCGGCCGUGCGGACUGGGGAGCUCGAGUUCUGUAGAGGCGGGUGGAAUUCCGGGUGUAGCGGUGGAAUGCGUAGAGAUCCGGAAGAACACCGGUGGCGAAGGCGGUUAGCUGGGCAGUUGCUGACACUGAGGCGCGACAGCGUGGGGAGCAAACAGG
rnacentral:rRNA from 1 species